AUACGGCUACAUCACCUUGAGACAUCGGUUCCUGUAAGAUCAUGGAAGUUAAGCAACGUCGAGCCUUGUCAGUACCUAGAGGGUGACCGCUUGGGAAUACCAGGUGCUGUAAG
rnacentral:rRNA from 1 species